rnacentral:lncRNA from 1 species
CUAAUUAAACUAGGAGAAUCUGCCAAGUACUUGUCCAGCCACGUUUUAGCCUCAGAUCUCCUCCAAAUCCGGCCCAAGAUAGCUUGUUUUAAAGAUAAGGACCUUCCGAACACAUCUCUAAAAGGCCACGAAACCAUCCGAAGUCAUCUUGGGCUCCAAAAACGCAAUUUAAGCCCAGAAACGUCAUUUUCCAGCACCGCGCAUCGCUCCUUUAUUUUAUCGCCAGAAAAUAACCGCUUGAUGGAAAAAUCCCAAAUUUUGAUACGACCAAGCUAAGUGACUCCCGAACGUCUUCAAACUGGAAUUACUCCAAAAUUCGUCCCUUUGACCACGUUUUGCUCCAGAGGAAGUCGAAAGUCCUAUAUUGAAAAUACAAUUCAAAGUAUCAAAAUUCUUUCAA